rnacentral:rRNA from 1 species
CCUACGUGAUGCAGCAGUGGGGAAUAUUGGACAAUGGGCGAAAGCCUGAUCCAGCCAUGCCGCGUGUGUGAAGAAGGCCUUCGGGUUGUAAAGCACUUUCAGUGGGGAAGAAAGCCUUGGGGCUAAUACCCUCGAGGAAGGACAUCACCCACAGAAGAAGCACCGGCUAACUCCGUGCCAGCAGCCGCGGUAAUACGGAGGGUGCGAGCGUUAAUCGGAAUUACUGGGCGUAAAGCGCGCGUAGGCGGUCUGAUAAGCCGGUUGUGAAAGCCCCGGGCUCAACCUGGGAACGGCAUCCGGAACUGUCAGGCUAGAGUGCAGGAGAGGAAGGUAGAAUUCCCGGUGUAGCGGUGAAAUGCGUAGAGAUCGGGAGGAAUACCAGUGGCGAAGGCGGCCUUCUGGACUGACACUGACGCUGAGGUGCGAAAGCGUGGGUAGCAAACAGGAUUAGAUACCCCAGUAGUC